GUACUAGCUUUGGCAGCACAUAUACUAAAACUAGAACAAUACAGAGAAGAUUAGCAUGGCCUCUGUGCAAGGAUGACACGCAAAUUCAUGAAGCAUUCCACAGUUUC